AUCAGAAAGCCCCAGUCAGCAUAGGGGAGAGAUUUGUCUUUCUGUAGCAGCAGCCAGCCAGAAGUCCAAUACAUUGUUGAAUCUGCAAAGAGGAGGACUGACUGAUACUUCUAAGGUGAAAAGAAGGAAACAAGAAGAGAAGAAGACAGUUGCUGAGACAUUUUUAAAGCAUCAGAAAAAUGGGGCCACAGAGAUUUAGAAGGGAUUAUCCUUGGCAAACUGGGACAGUUGGAGGGUAAGGCUGAUGAGAAUGAGGUCUUUACAUCUUUUUCAUAUAAAAACAGGUAAAUGUACUAAAGUUGACAUCACUGGCAGUUGAUCCUUGCGUCAAGUAUUGCCAAUGAGAUCAGAUCCUCCGUUGCAUUAAAGGGCAGCAGCUCACAGAAGGAGAGGACUGAACAAACAGGAAUUUGUUUUUACUACAUUGCUUUUUACUACAUUUUACUCCACUGCUGUUGCUUCACUGCCUGAUGGCAAGUGAUGUCAAGAAAUAGUCCUUUUGAAAAACAGACACAGGAAGACUAGAAAACCAAAAACAGAGAAUUCAGCAGCACGAGGGCCAUGAUCAGACAUUUGAAACAAAAUGGCAAAAAUGUUCACUCUCCAGGGCUUGAAUGAAGAUCACAAUGGAUCCCUUACUAAGCAAUAGAUCAGCUGCCCUCAAUCCUGAGGAGUUCUGAUCUGUUGGAAUAAAAGUCCCAACAUCCCCAUGCAGCAUAGCAAUUUCUAUGAAUGAGAGAAUUUGCAUUCAAAACAUUUGAAGGCCUCCUGCUUGGAAAAGUCUGUUGCUGAAGACCAUGGUCAUUGGGCAGGCAACACAAAUGGAAAGUGUACAUCAGAAAAGGACAUCGUUAAAAAAGUACAAAAUCCAAGAUGCAAGCAGGCUGGCAGGUUUGGAGCAAUUCCAACAUUUGCAGAAAUAAAGAGCUUUAAAAAGCCCCCAAAAUUAAACCCAGGAUUCUGAAAACACAACUAUUAAGCAUAUAAACUUAAUAGUCACAUAAUGCUGAGCAAUAGUAGGGAAAUAAAACUGAAAAACUGUGGUUGGACCAACAUAGAAUACUCUACUACAGAAGGGCAGAGUUGGAAUACUAAACCAAAGUGUGUUGGCAAUUAAAAACCCUUUGCAACAGUUAGUUGCAGAGUCCAUUAUAUAAUUUAUUAGUAAAUCAUAGUGUUUGAUCUGACAAUAUUUAAACCAAAGCACACACCGAUAUUCAAUUUUAUAUCUAAAACUUACAGAACCAAAAAAUAUAAAGAAGUUGAAAUGAAAUGUUGCAUCAAUAUUGAAAUCUUACAGAAUUUCAGAGUUCAGAUUUCAGUUUUUGGCUUUUAAAUAUUUAAGAAUUUCACCCAAAAAUGUAGCAGAGUAGCAGUCAUGAUUUACUAUUUAUAAAAUUUGGCUGAUGGGUGCUGAAACAACAAAUUACCAUCAAGUUGUAGUCUUCUUUCUGUCAAAAUAUAAAUUCAAAAAUAUCCAUACUUAGAGAUCAUAGAAUCACAGAAGCUGAAAAUGUCACAUGACAGGAUUGUUCUGAUUGUUUCAAACAAAUCUGAAAUAAGAAGUCCUUGAGCAUUUCCAAAUAAAAUUUCCUCCAAGUUUAA